UACGGAGGGUGCGAGCGUUGUCCGGAUUUAUUGGGUUUAAAGGGUGCGUAGGUGGCUUUUUAAGUCAGUGGUGAAAUACAGCCGCUUAACGGUUGAGGUGCCAUUGAUACUGGGAAGCUUGAAAUAAUUGGAGGCUGCCGGAAUGGAUGGUGUAGCGGUGAAAUGCAUAGAUAUCAUCCAGAACACCGAUUGCGAAGGCAGGUGGCUACGAUUUAUUUGACACUGAGGCACGAAAGCAUGGGGAGCAAACAGG
rnacentral:rRNA from 1 species